rnacentral:rRNA from 2 species
GAUGAACGCUGGCGGCGUGCCUAAUACAUGCAAGUCGAACGCUUUGUGGUUCAACUGAUUUGAAGAGCUUGCUCAGAUAUGACGAUGGACAUUGCAAAGAGUGGCGAACGGGUGAGUAACACGUGGGAAACCUACCUCUUAGCAGGGGAUAACAUUUGGAAACAGAUGCUAAUACCGUAUAACAAUGACAACCGCAUGGUUGUUAUUUAAAAGAUGGUUCUGCUAUCACUAAGAGAUGGUCCCGCGGUGCAUUAGCUAGUUGGUAAGGUAAUGGCUUACCAAGGCGAUGAUGCAUAGCCGAGUUGAGAGACUGAUCGGCCACAAUGGGACUGAGACACGGCCCAUACUCCUACGGGAGGCAGCAGUAGGGAAUCUUCCACAAUGGGCGAAAGCCUGAUGGAGCAACGCCGCGUGUGUGAUGAAGGGUUUCGGCUCGUAAAACACUGUUGUAAGAGAAGAAUGACAUUGAGAGUAACUGUUCAAUGUGUGACGGUAUCUUACCAGAAAGGAACGGCUAAAUACGUGCCAGCAGCCGCGGUAAUACGUAUGUUCCAAGCGUUAUCCGGAUUUAUUGGGCGUAAAGCGAGCGCAGACGGUUAUUUAAGUCUGAAGUGAAAGCCCUCAGCUCAACUGAGGAAUUGCUUUGGAAACUGGAUGACUUGAGUGCAGUAGAGGAAAGUGGAACUCCAUGUGUAGCGGUGAAAUGCGUAGAUAUAUGGAAGAACACCAGUGGCGAAGGCGGCUUUCUGGACUGUAACUGACGUUGAGGCUCGAAAGUGUGGGUAGCAAACAGGAUUAGAUACCCUGGUAGUCCACACCGUAAACGAUGAGUGCUAGGUGUUUGAGGGUUUCCGCCCUUAAGUGCCGCAGCUAACGCAUUAAGCACUCCGCCUGGGGAGUACGACCGCAAGGUUGAAACUCAAAGGAAUUGACGGGGACCCGCACAAGCGGUGGAGCAUGUGGUUUAAUUCGAAGCAACGCGAAGAACCUUACCAGGUCUUGACAUCCCUUGACAACUCCAGAGAUGGAGCGUUCCCUUCGGGGACAAGGUGACAGGUGGUGCAUGGUUGUCGUCAGCUCGUGUCGUGAGAUGUUGGGUUAAGUCCCGCAACGAGCGCAACCCUUAUUACUAGUUGCCAGCAUUCAGUUGGGCACUCUAGUGAGACUGCCGGUGACAAACCGGAGGAAGGUGGGGAUGACGUCAAAUCAUCAUGCCCCUUAUGACCUGGGCUACACACGUGCUACAAUGGCGUAUACAACGAGUUGCCAACCCGCGAGGGUGAGCUAAUCUCUUAAAGUACGUCUCAGUUCGGAUUGUAGGCUGCAACUCGCCUACAUGAAGUCGGAAUCGCUAGUAAUCGCGGAUCAGCACGCCGCGGUGAAUACGUUCCCGGGUCUUGUACACACCGCCCGUCACACCAUGAGAGUUUGUAACACCCAAAGCCGGUGGGGUAACCUUCGGGAGCCAGCCGUCUAAGGUGGGACAGAUGAUUAGGGUGAAG